ACGGGACCGCACAAGCGUGGAUGAUGUGGUUUAAUUCGAUGCAACGCGAAAACCUUACCCACCUUUGACAUGUACGGAAGCCUUUAGAGAUAGAGGCGUGCUCGAAAGAGAGCCGUAACACAGGUGCUGCAUGGCUGUCGUCAGCUCGUGUCGUGAGAUGUUGGGUUAAGUCCCGCAACGAGCGCAACCCUUGUCAUUAGUUGCUACAUUCAGUUGGGCACUCUAGCGAGACUGCCGGUAAUAAACCGGAGGAAGUGGGAUGACGUCAAAUCAUCAUGCCCCUUAUGACCUGGGCUACACACGUGCUACAAUGGUUGGUACAACGAGUUGCGAGUCGGUGACGGCGAGCUAAUCUCUUAAAGCCAAUCUCAGUUCGGAUUGUAGGCUGCAACUCGCCUACAUGAAGUCGGAAUCGCUAGUAAUCGCGGAUCAGCACGCCGCGGUGAAUACGUUCCCGGGCCUU
rnacentral:rRNA from 1 species